rnacentral:rRNA from 1 species
CAUGCAGUCGAACGCGAGAGUGGAGCAAUCCAUUAGUAGAGUGGCAAACGGGUGAGUAACACGUGGGCGACCUACCUCAGAGUGGGGGAUAACCUUCCGAAAGGAGGGCUAAUACCGCAUGACAUCCCGUGUUUGGAUACACGGAGAUCAAAGCCGGGGAUCGCAAGACCUGGCGCUUGGAGAGGGGCCCGCGUCCGAUUAGCUAGUUGGUGAGGUAACGGCUCACCAAGGCUCCGAUCGGUAUCCGGCCUGAGAGGGCGGACGGACACACUGGAACUGAGACACGGUCCAGACUCCUACGGGAGGCAGCAGUGGGGAAUUGUUCGCAAUGGGCGAAAGCCUGACGACGCAACGCCGCGUGGAGGAUGAAGAAUUUCGGUUCGUAAACUCCUUUCGACCGAGAUGAACACCCCGCAAUUUAAUACGUUGUGGGACUGACAGUAUCGAGAGAAGAAGCCCCGGCUAACUCUGUGCCAGCAGCCGCGGUAAUACAGGGGGGGCAAGCGUUGUUCGGAAUUACUGGGCGUAAAGGGUUCGUAGGUGGGCCACUAAGUCAGAUGUGAAAUCCCUCAGCUUAACUGGGGAACUGCUUCUGAUACUGGUUGGCUUGAGUGCAUGAGAGGAAUGCGGAAUUCCAGGUGUAGCGGUGA